UGUGGGGAUGAUGGCUGAGAGGUCACACCCGUUCCCAUACCGAACACGGAAGUUAAGCUCUCUAGCCCCGAUGGUAGUUGGGACCUUGUCCCUCUGAGAGUAGGACGUUGCCCGGC
rnacentral:rRNA from 1 species